ensembl:lncRNA
CAGCUUUGCUGGUGCUAGUUCAGCCAAGAAGGGUUCUAACUCCAGAAUGAGCUGGACCAUAAAAUUCCCAGGAGACUGCUAGAUAAUCACCAUGGUAUGAUCAGUAAUCUAGAGCCAGACAUCCUGGAAUGUGAAGUCAAGUGGGCCUUAGAAAGCAUCACUAUGGCUUUUUCGUCCGGUAAGCGUCCGGUUUAGGAGGAGGCGGCCUGUUGUGGUUGUUUUGUGAGGUAAAGUACAAGGAACACGUCCUUUCGGCCUAGCUUAAGAUGCAGGAGAUGCAGCGGUCUUGUAGUAGUAGAUCGACGUUAGCUUUGAAAACGUCUAGGUUCAGAAGCUUGAGUGAACUUCAUGUUCGUUCGUUAGUGGGGCGGCCACGUGCAGCCCUGGGCGCUCAGUCGGAAGCCAGUCGCGCGUGGGUCCUGGGCCCUCCGGCAGAAGUUAAGUACCGCUGAUGACUCGGGUGAAGGUCAUCCGUUGUACUGUCGGUGCCAUGUGGCCAUCUUGAAUCUGUUGCUCUGCGACUCUGAAGAGUAACACCGCAUCCUGACGACCCGCCAGUUUUAUCCAGGUGGAAGCUGAGCUAAUUGUUCCAGUGGACGAUGGAAAGCAUAACGAGAUAUACCAAGAAAUCCAAAGUGAUGUGAGUGAAGUCUGAGCAUCCUGCAGUACACUGCAAAAUGUGAUUUUAAAUCUCGUGUAUGGUAUUUAAAUAGAAAAUAAAAGUGUGCUGCUUUUAUUUAUAUAAUAAAAUGCUUGAUUUGUAAAAAAAAAAAAAAA